rnacentral:lncRNA from 1 species
UCAACUCAGGGUGUUUAGCGUAUCCAUCGUCUCAUACAUUUAUCAUUUCUAUGUGGUGAGAACAUCCAAACUUCUUCUAGCUAUUUUGAAAUAUACAAUACAAUACUGUUAACCACAGUCACCCUAGUGAGCAAUAGAACACCAGAACUUAUUUUUCCUAUAUAACUGUAACUUUGUACCCAUUGACUAAUCUCUCCCUAUCCCCCUCCCCAGCCUCUAGUAACCACUAUUCUGCUAUUUGGAAAAUUCUUUGUCGUGAGGAUCUAUCCUGUGCACUGUGGAAUCUUCACCAGUAUCCCAUGCCUCUACUCACUGGAUGCCAGUAGCAGCCUCCUCCCCUGUCCUCCUCAAGUUAAGACAACCAAAAAUGUCUUAUAACAUUGCCAAAUUGUCCCUUGGGAGACAACAUAGACUGUGGUUGAGCAUCAGUGAACUAGUAUGAGAGACAAUAAGAAUUCUAGAAUUGUCAGAUGUGCUCCUUUUUUCAUUCCACCGUUACAUAUUGCUGAAAGCCUUUGCUAGGCUGACUUAUCCCUCUUAGAUAUGGAGACAACAGGCACCUCCAAA